GAAAUAGAACCUGAAACCGUGUACGUACAAGCAGUAGGAGCCCACUUGUUGGGUGACUGCGUACCUUUUGUAUAAUGGGUCAGCGACUUAUAUUUUGUAGCGAGGUUAACCGAAUAGGGUAGCCGUAGGGAAACCGAGUCUUAACUGGGCGACUAGUUGCAAGGUAUAGACCCGAAACCCGGUGAUCUAGCCAUGGGCAGGUUGAAGGUUGAGUAACAUCAACUGGAGGACCGAACCCACUAACGUUGAAAAGUUAGGGGAUGACCUGUGGCUAGGAGUGAAAGGCUAAUCAAACCGGGAGAUAGCUGGUUCUCCCCGAAAUCUAUUUAGGUAGAGCCUCGGACGAAUACUUACGGGGGUAGAGCACUGUUAAGGCUAGGGGGUCAUCCCGACUUACCAACCCUUUGCAAACUCCGAAUACCGUAAAGUAAUAUCCGGGAGACACACGGCGGGUGCUAACGUCCGUCGUGAAGAGGGAAACAACCCAGACCGCCAGCUAAGGUCCCAAAGUCAUAGUUAAGUGGGAAACGAUGUGGAAAGGCCCAGACAGCCAGGAGGUUGGCUUAGAAGCAGCCAUCCUUUAAAGAAAGCGUAAUAGCUCACUGGUCGAGUCGGUCUGCGCGGAAGAUGUAACGGGGCUAAACUAUGCACCGAAGCUGCGGAUUCAGAAUUUAUUCUGAGUGGUAGGGGAGCGUUCUGUAAGCGGUUGAAGGUGUACCGGGAGGUAUGCUGGACGUAUCAGAAGUGCGAAUGCUGACAUGAGUAACGAUAAUGGGAGUGAAAAACUCCCACGCCGGAAGACCAAGGGUUCCUAUCCCAUGUUAAUCAGGGUAGGGUAAGUCGACCCCUAAGGCGAGGCCGAAAGGCGUAGUCGAUGGGAAACAGAUUAAUAUUUCUGUACUCGAUAUAAUUGCGAUGGGGGGACGGAGCAGGCUAAACAAGCAUGGCGUUGGUAGUCCAUGUGAAAGUGAGUAGGUUGGCGACUUAGGUAAAUCCGGGUUGCUAUUAAGACUGAGACACGAGACGAGUCACUACGGUGAUGAAGUUGUUGAUGC
rnacentral:rRNA from 1 species